CGGACCACCAAGACGACGAUGCGUAGGGGUUCUGAGAGGAAGGUCCCCCACACUGGUACUGAGACACGGACCAGACUCCUACGGGAGGCAGCAGUGAGGAAUAUUGGUCAAUGGGCGGGAGCCUGAACCAGCCAAGUCGCGUGAGGGAUGACGGCCCUAUGGGUUGUAAACCUCUUUUGCCGGGGAGCAAAGUGCCGCACGUGUGCGGUUUGGAGAGUACCCGGAGAAAAAGCAUCGGCUAACUCCGUGCCAGCAGCCGCGGUAAUACGGAGGAUGCGAGCGUUAUCCGGAUUUAUUGGGUUUAAAGGGUGCGUAGGCGGACGCUUAAGUCAGCGGUAAAAUUGCGGGGCUCAACCUCGUCGAGCCGUUGAAACUGGGUGCCUUGAGUGGGCGAGAAGUACGCGGAAUGCGUGGUGUAGCGGUGAAAUGCAUAGAUAUCACGCAGAACUCCGAUUGCGAAGGCAGCGUACCGGCGCCCAACUGACGCUGAAGCACGAAGGCGUGGGUAUCGAACAGGAUUAGAUACCCUGGUAGUCCACGCAGUAAACGAUGAAUGCUAGUUGUCCGGGGCGAUUGAGUUCUGG
rnacentral:rRNA from 1 species